GAUGAACGCUGGCGGCGUGCCUAAUACAUGCAAGUCGAGCGAACAGACGAGGAGCUUGCUCCUCUGACGUUAACGGCGGACGGGUGAGUAACACGUGGAUAACCUACCUAUAAGACUGGGAUAACUUCGGGAAACCGGAGCUAAUACCGGAUAAUAUAUUGAACCGCAUGGUUCAAUAGUGAAAGACGGUUUUGCUUUCACUUAUAGAUGGAUCCGCGCCGCAUUAGCUAGUUGGUAAGGUAACGGCUUACCAAGGCGACGAUGCGUAGCCGACCUGAGAGGGUGAACGGCCACACUGGAACUGAGACACGGUCCAGACUCCUACGGGAGGCAGAAGUAGGGAAUCGUCCGAAAUGGGCGAAAGACUGAAGGAGCAACGCAGCGUGAGUGAUGAAGGUCUUCGGAUCGUAAAACUCUGUUAUUAGGGAAGAACAAAUGUGUAAGUAACUAUGCACGUCUUGACGGUACCUAAUCAGAAAGCCACGGCUAACUACGUG
rnacentral:rRNA from 1 species